AAAAGCUGACGAAUUCCAGUCAACAGUUUAGGGAGCAUUGUUGAGCGGGGGAUUGUGGGUCACUGCUGGUGGGGAUGGCAUUGCAGAUCAAGGGCAGUGCAAGGUGUCAGGGUUUUGUAACAGGGUUUAUGUGUUCCCAGCAGGAGGGAGUUCAUGUGGAAAUAGGGAGCUGUGAAAAAGUCGAACAUGUGGGAGUGUGAAGUUUGCAGCCAGGGAUGCUUCCAAUCAGGAGUGGUGUCCAGAAAGACACCAGUAUUGUUUAUAAUCCUCACAUCCCACUGGCAUCAUCGGUGGCACAGCAUGAUGGCAUUGUAAUGGGCUAUACAUAAAAGCUUAGAAAGGCUUAGAAAAGCAAAGGCAUCCUGUGGAAAAGCCUGAGCCUGCCAGUGAUGUGAUGGUUAUAAAACAAUUUGAGCAAAGGCAUAAGCAAGAAAAAAACCCAUCCGCAGUGCUGAAGAUACCCAUUUUAAAGAAAACCCUCACUACUAAAUAGGUAGCUAAGGAAACUGAGUGACUUGUAAGAGAACCAAGGCUUGAGGUUAACAGAAGCAUCUCAAGUCUCGGGAAAAGGGCUUGGCUUUUGACCUAUAGCAUGUCCUGGUCAGACCUAUGUUUUAUAUACAGAAAGAUCAGCUACUUUGCACCCUGCCUACACAGUCAGGCUAUUGUGCAUACAAUUGAGAAUUUUCACUGAAUAAAGUUUUUCAAUACAUAUUUAGUCAACUAAAAUUCUGUUGGAAAAUACGUAUCUCAUCUGUCUUCCACCUCAUUAAAAACUGAAACAAGGUGUUAAGGUAAUGAUAUGAUAAUGUACAAAGAGUUAGGGUAGGCAAAACCUUUAAAGCUGAGAGAGAAAGGGGAAAUGAAGGUAUAAGUAUGGGUUUUAAAGUUUUUGGACAAAGUUAAGGGCUCUCUAUGGUGGUGUGACUUAGCUCUCUCCAGUGAUAGUGUGCAGGACUACAUUGUCAUGUUUCCUAGUGCUUUGGGAAAGGAAAUAGUACAGUAUGCAAACUAAACUACCUCGCUGAAGGCUUUGGCUUGGUCCUCUGUUGUGUGAAAGGUUACUUCUUACCAGGUAUAAUGGAGAUUUUCAGGGUAUAUAGCAAAAAUUUUUGACAGUGAGAAUUUUGUUCUAUAUGUUUCAUAGAGAUGCAACUAAUAAGGGGUUGGAUUUGUGAUCUCUUCAUACCUAGCAGCAGGUAUGUUAGCUGUCUACAGAUUAAUUCCACUUCAGUGAUAAUGCACUCAGUUGUUCUGUUGGGACUUGUGUUUCAGCUGUAUCUGGGGUGUAGUGGGUGUAGUGCCAAGUACUUCACUGUUUCUGUCGCCCUUUGUGGCCUGUUCAUCUGAGCCUUCCACAGCAUGCUGCUUUUCUUGUGCUGGGAUCUUGAGGCAGUUGUGGGAACAGAUCUCCAAGCAAGGAUCUCUUCCUGCUGACAGGCAGUAUUCCUUGUUAUCUGAUGGCCAGCUAUGGUUUUAAGAGAAAAAAUAAGAGCAAGUUUACAAAGCAGGCUCAUUUGAAAUGGUGACUUGUGCCUUUCUUACAUCACCUCUGAACUCCAAAACUACCUUUGAACUUUUCAUAAGGUAAAAUUCAGUUGGUUAUACUUAGGCAAAGCUGGUUUUUAUUUGGUGGAAAAUUUUUAAAGUCAACCUGCUCUUCAGCUGGUGCAUUUUUACUCUGAUUUAAGAAGACACAGAACAAAUUACUUGUGGCCUGUGUGUUUAAAGAUCCCACCCAGGCUUUUCUGGUCGUACCAAAGCUACUGAUGGCAGUCUGAAUAUCCUUUUGUAGCUUCUGUAGCCACUAUAAACCUUCCUGCUAAUGAACAAGUAUUUUCUUCUGAGUUGUUUAUUUAAUAAUAAGAAAUUAGGGUUGCAUCUGAAACUAUCAUGUUAUGAUUUUAAGCCCCUCCACAUUUUGCACAUGAAAAAACGCAUUUUACAAAAGCUUUGAUUAUGCCAGCCAGGGUUGGAGAUGUCCUCUUGCAUCCAAUUAUCCUCUUGGAUAAUUUGGCAGCGUUGAUUGAUAGAUUUGUUUUUUUUUCCCCAGAUGAAAGCACUACACGUUUGACUCCCAAGUGUAUAAUAUGCACUCAGGCAUUUGGCCUCUGAAGCAGCCAUAGGCAAGGCAGGCAGAGUCAAGGAGCCCGUUAAAGUACGUACGGUCUGAACAAGGGCUAUUUCAUUACUGAGAAUAACUUUGAACUGACAGAGAAAGUCAGUCCUUCUUGGUGUAGGAAAGCCAGCUAAUUCUUCCAAGACUUUAGAGCACAUUAUUUUUAGUUCAAAAUAAUCAUGGGCUAUUAAACAUAAACAGAACCUGUGAGAAGCCCUGUGUCACUGAGCACGGCACCAGGAAAGUCUCACUGCAGCAAUUUUGUGCUCCUACAUGCUGAUGGAGACAUAUGGGGCUUCAGGUCUGACACCGUAUGUCUAUUCCUAUAUGAACUAGAUGCCCUUCUGUCACCCAGGGAAGAUAAAUAGUCCAUUUUAAAUGCCCCUUUUCAAAUGAUUUAGAAACAAACAAACAAAAAGAGGUAUUUCUUGAGACAGAAAGGAGACAUUAGGAGUUAGCAAAAUUGUUUCUGUUUGUUCUCUGUUCUCCACAGAGAUGGUCACCAUACCCGUAUACAGGUCUAGUCUCCAAAUGGAGGAGGAAGGGAUCUAUUCUAAUCUGUUUUUUAAAGGUUAUACAGGAGAUUUUUGUGGGAAAGCCCAGAAAUAGCUGACGAUAGCUAGACCCGUGAUGACAGAGCCAGUACUGAAGUCCUUGUACUCAAACUGAAGGCAAAGCAGACUAACCCUGAGAAAUGUGUGGUCAUCGCCAGAAGAAAGAUUACCGUAUUAGGCCACAUUUUCCAAGGAGAUGAUCUAAGACUGAAGUGGAUGAGUCAGCUGAGAGGGAGCACUGUGACUAGAGACCUCACAGGAGUACCCAGCCAAAUCUUCCCAAAUCAACAAUUUCAGGACAAAUUACAGUUAAAUAAAGAGAUUUAUCUUGAGAUGUCUUUGGGAACUGCAUCCUUGAAGCACAGCUGUGGUCUAAGCAUCAGAUGGAGAAGGGUACAGGGACCAUCUCAGACAGCAUCCGAGAAAGAAUUCAAGUGGCAACAAAAGUUAAAAAAUAGCACGUAGCUCCCAGCAAGGUUUCCUACCCUGGGCAAGGAAUAGAUGCAGUUUUAUUUGUACCUAGUUUGGAAGGAGCUCUUUGCAAUGGUGAACUUGGUUCUCUGACUUACAGCCUUUUGCUGAUCUCAGCCACACUUCUUGCCAAACAGCCUCCAGGUCAUGGAGACAAUAAGAGAUGUUGUCUUCUCAGGAUCAGUGGGUUUUAAAAUAAUCCAGAGCAGUGCCUUUGUAAGAGAACAAACCCAGUGCACCAUAUUUAAGGGGAAAGACACAAUGUUUUCCAACAGAAAGGGAUGUGUCCUUGGCUUUGCUGAUGCCAUACAGGUCAGGGCCUGAAGUACCCAAUCCAAAAUGAGAUGGGAGGUGACUCCUGCUGCAAGUGGAGGGAACCCAAGAGGUUCAGCACUAUGGUGACACUGAUCCAAUGAAAGAUGU